GCCAGUACAGUGAAACAAUCUAAGGUGACCACGACAAAUUAUCUUGCAAAAUGGUCCAGAGACCCUCCUAUAUAGGUAGCCACCAAAAUGAGAACGAGAUCCGAUAAAUAAAGUUUCAUCUUUAUCCGACAAUCAAAUUGUCAAAUAUAGAGACAAGAGGAGACACCCGUUGGUGAAGGCAACCUUCCUCAAGCGAAUCAAAAGAACAUAUCAUACAAAUGAGCAUAAAAUAAAAUUGGAAAGAACUACUAAAUAGAAACAAUUGUCCAUAUUACAAGAGAAGGUUGCUCAAUUUGAAGCAUUACAACUGAUAAAACCAACAUAAAAUUCAAAUUUAACAAGGAGAAUAUUACAAAUAGAAAAAUUCAACAAUUAAAUUAGAAAGCAAAAUCCUAUUUUCUGACAUCAAUAACCGACCCACCAUCAGCAUUCUCUUUAUCGCUCGAGAUAUCUUGCCACAUCUAACCACCUUGGUGUAAUCCAACCCACCCGUAAUGAAAGCCACUCCGGGAUUCAACAAUUGGAUUUAAGCAAGGGCAUUUUCAAAUGAGUCCUUACUCGUAGAAUACAAAUUGUUAACUAGAGUGGCCUUUUCAUCAUUACCAUACAACUCUAACAAUUUGGAGUCAGUCUCCUCGACACUCCUCUCCAAAUGAACUAUAUAUUCUUCUAAGAGUUUCUUUGCAUCAACAAGAACCAAGGACUCUGUUUAAAUACCCGCCAAUUGAGAAAAAAAUACCUUCUUUCUCUUUGUGUAAGGAUUCUAAAUCUUCAACGCCCUUCAAUAAUUUGGAGUUGGUUUUAGAAAAGAGCUCCUUAGCAUGGGCAACCUCAAAAUAGAGAUUUUCCACUUCAUAGAAGCACACACUGCAAAUGCUUUGCACAAGUGCGACAUAAGCUAAACUUGUUGCAUCAGACUCGCUGACCAUAGCCCUAAGUCCACCAAGAUCUUCUGGAUUUCAGCAGAAAUAACACUGAGGAAAGUAAGGGAUUCCUUAACCAUCAUGGCCCCCUUUUCAGAAUGAGAAACAAAAAUCAAACGAAUUUGAACAAGUCUUAUUUUCAUCUUUUUUUUCCUUCUUCAGCCAUCAUCUAGAUCUAUGAAGGCCAAAAUUUCGCUAGCCGAUGUUGGAGUAGUUUGCUAAGGAAAAGUUGGGAGGUUCGCCAAUGUAAGAACAUCCACCGUCUUUUUCCUUUGAUGAAUAGAUUUUGGAGGAACUUGAGGAGGAACCGAAGAAGAUGCUCAGACACCCAUCUUAUAGUUGGAAUAUCAAUGUCAAACCAUAAUAAUGCUCCAAAUUGUGUUUGGGUGAAAUGCCCACCAUAUUGUAUCUCAACUUGAAUUUGAGGUUUCUCACAUUUAAAAAUGG
rnacentral:lncRNA from 1 species